rnacentral:misc_RNA from 1 species
GAAAUGCGAUAAGUAAUGUGAAUUGCAGAAUUCAGUGAAUCAUCGAAUCUUUGAACGCACCUUGCGCUCCUUGGUAUUCCUUGGAGCAUGCCUGUUUGAGUAUCAUGAAAUCUUCAAAGUAAAUCUUUUGUUAACUCAAUUGUCUUCUACUUUGGUAUUGGAGGUCUUUGCAGCUUCACACCUGCUCCUCUUUGUUCAUUAGCUGGAUCUCAGUGUUAUGCUUGGUUCCACUCGGCGUGAUAAGUUAUCUAUCGCUGAGGACACUGUAAAAGGUGGCCAAGGUAAAUGCAGAUGAACCGCUUCUAAUAGUCCAUUGACUUGGACAAUACUUUUAUGAUCUGAUCUCAAAUCAGGUAGGACUACCCGCUGAACUUAAGC